GCCCGUCUGCUGUGUGAUCGGUACCCGGGCGAAUUCCAAGCUUGAACCUGCGGAAGGAUCAUUCCCAGUCUUAU
rnacentral:rRNA from 1 species